CCUACGGGUGGCUGCAGUGGGGAAUAUUGGACAAUGGGCGAAAGCCUGAUCCAGCCAUGCCGCGUGUGUGAAGAAGGCCUUCGGGUUGUAAAGCACUUUCAGUGGGGAAGAAAGCCUUGGGGCUAAUACCCUCGAGGAAGGACAUCACCCACAGAAGAAGCACCGGCUAACUCCGUGCCAGCAGCCGCGGUAAUACGGAGGGUGCGAGCGUUAAUCGGAAUUACUGGGCGUAAAGCGCGCGUAGGCGGUCUGAUAAGCCGGUUGUGAAAGCCCCGGGCUCAACCUGGGAACGGCAUCCGGAACUGUCAGGUUAGAGUGCAGGAGAGGAAGGUAGAAUUCCCGGUGUAGCAGUGAAAUGCGUAGAGAUCGGGAGGAAUACCAGUGGCGAAGGCGGCCUUCUGGACUGACACUGACGCUGAGGUGCGAAAGCGUGGGUAGCAAACAGGAUUAGAUACCCCAGUAGUC
rnacentral:rRNA from 1 species